rnacentral:lncRNA from 1 species
AAAGAGGCGAGUUUGUGGGUCGCCGACGGUCCGGCUGCCCCCGCCUCCUUCCGUCUGAUCAGCGCUCUCCCGCGGCUGCGCCGGCUCGGCCGCCCGGGAGACAAAGCACCGCCGAUGCCGCCAACGCAACCGAGCAGUUCCCGGGCCAUGGCCGGGCCGCUCCCCGGCUCCGCGUCUCCCGUCCCGCCACUGCUGUCGUCGCCCUAGUCCGCGCCGUGAGGUUUUUUGAGCACCAACUACAUGCCAGGCACUGGAAUUCAGACAGAGAACCUCCGCCCUCCUAGAGCAGCAAAAAUGACCCAGAUGUGGAAGCAGAGGCCCAGAGAGACUUAAAGCUUGCCCGGGGUCACACAGCCUGGACACUACAGAGCUGACAUUUGAACCCAGAGAAGAGCAAGCCGAAACCAGAACUGAGCAGAGGGCAGGGAAGUGAGCAGCAGCCUGAGAGGUGUCAGCUGAGAUGCCUCCUCCUCCAGGAAGCCUUCCGGGAUCCCCCUUAUUCACACACUCAUGGUGUUUCCACCACUGAAGCACUGAGCACACAGCAGAUGGACAGUGACUGCAGACACAAUGUCAACACCAAAGCUAAUGGUCCAGAGGGAGCUUUGGUUCCCAGAGCCCAGGGGGCAUCUACUUCUACAGGUUCUUAGGUGACUUGUGUGUGUCAGAUGAGGCUUUCUGCUCCACUCCUGCCCCCACCUACAACCCGCGGCCACAUCCUGAGGAUUUCUGACUUCUGACCUCCGGAGCUGCAAACCAAGUGUCCAAAACGCCUGUCUUUGGCUUUACUUUGGAGCAAUUAGUUACCCUAAACAAGGAGGAGUUCACUCAUCAUUUCAUUCCCACCGCAAGGACGUGUGGAAAAACUGGGGUGAUCAGAAGGUUUCCAGACAAAGAGGAAAAGGUCUGUCUUGGGAUGCCACGUGCCCUCGGCUCACGGGUGAAUAAUGUUUAAUGCCGCUUAGGGAACUCUCUUGACAUUAUUGGUCAAGAAAAAACAAACCUCCUGCAGCUUGAUACACAGAGAGACUCACCAUCAUGGGUUGAAGGAACCCAACCCCCACUCAUGAAAACAGUACGGAACGCUGAGCCCUUAUGUGCCACACACUGUCUUAUGUGUUUUACAUGCAUCAUCAUUCCUGAUAAUGACCCUUUGAGUUGGCUGCUGUGAUACCCCCAUUUUACAGAUGGGGAGACCGAGGCCCUAGUUAUACAGCUGUGAAAGGGGCGCUGCUGUGUUGGUCACCAGAAAGCCCCUCUUGGCACUUUUCCAUCAGGAGUCUAGAGGCACCCGCCACUCACACACUCCACUGAGGUGGGCACAGCUUGUAAACUGGCUGGUCUUAGGGCCACGGCCUGUGGCCCCCGAUUGGGGCAGGGCACAGUCUCAGCUCCUCAGAUCUAGACCCCAGAGUCUAACCAGCUUCCACCUUCUGCAAUGAGUGGAAUGUGUAUUCCAAUCCUUCCAUCUUCCUUUGUUGGAGCCCACAGCACAAUCACCAACCGAGAUGCCCACAGGACCUGGGCAGGUGGUGCAGGUGCAGACAGAGGCAAAUCAUGGGCACAUGUCCUAACGGGGAGGGCCACUCCCCAGCUAGCUGCUGUCAUGUUGGAAUUUGGGCCCUGUGUGGCCAGAUCUUACUGUUUUCCAGUGAAGCCAGUAAUCAGGAUUUUUAAUGAAAUUAGAACAUUCUUUAACGCCAUACACAAAAAUAAACUCAAAAUGGAUUAAAGACCUAAAUGUAAGACUGGAUACUAUUAAACUCUUAGAGAAAACACUCUUUGACAUAAUCGCAGCAGUAUCUUUUUCGAUUCGUCUCCUAGAGUAAUGG